GUGGAAGAAGUGUGACUAAUUAAGACGGGUAGUCUUUUAGGUUACUGCAGCCAGCAGCCUUUACCACUGUCAAGCACAGAGGAUGGGAGCCUUUUAAGAUACAUCUUGGAGCAGCUGGUCCAGCUCUAAAUAGAGCAAUGAGAAAAUGAGAAAAGGGCUGUACUGAUGAAUUUAAACAACGUACUAGGUGAUGGAGAGCAGAGGGCAAGAAGGCUGAAGAUGUUCCAGAGUGCCUCAAAGCUCCUUGAGGAAUCUUUGAGCUGCUCGGAUUUUUGACAGAGGAUUAAUGCCAAUAAGAAAUGUAAAAUCAGGAUGUCACAAACCUCCUCAUUCCUAUGCUGUCACACCAUUCUGCUCCCCAGAGAAGGGAGGCAAGGGAGACAGCAUACCUCUAG